GUGGAUUAGAUACCCUGGUAGUCCACGCCGUAAACGAUGGGCACUAGGUGUGGGGGGUGUCGACUCCCUCCGUGCCGACGCUAACGCAUUAAGUGCCCCGCCUGGGGAGUACGGCCGCAAGGCUAAAACUCAAAGGAAUUGACGGGGGCCCGCACAAGCAGCGGAGCAUGUGGUUUAAUUCGACGCAACGCGAAGAACCUUACCUGGGCUUGACAUGUUCCUGACCGCCGUGGAAACACGGUUUCCCUUCGGGGCAGGAUCACAGGUGGUGCACGGCUGUCGCCAGCU
rnacentral:rRNA from 1 species